UACAGAGGGGGCAAGCGUUGUUCGGAAUUACUGGGCGUAAAGGGCGCGUAGGCGGCCUGUUAAGUCGAACGUGAAAUCCCCGGGCUCAACCCGGGAACUGCGUCCGAUACUGGCAGGCUUGAAUCCGGGAGAGGGAUGCGGAAUUCCAGGUGUAGCGGUGAAAUGCGUAGAUAUCGGGAGGAACACCAGUGGCGAAGGCGGCUCUCUGGGACGGUACUGACGCUGAGACGCGAAAGCGUGGGGAGCGAACAGG
rnacentral:rRNA from 1 species